UACGUAGGGUGCGAGCGUUAAUCGGAAUUACUGGGCGUAAAGCGUGCGCAGGCGGUGAUGUAAGUCCGCUGUGAAAUCCCCGGGCUCAACCUGGGAAUGGCGGUGGAAACUGGCGAGCUAGAGUGUGGCAGAGGGGGGUGGAAUUCCACGUGUAGCAGUGAAAUGCGUAGAGAUGUGGAGGAACACCAGUGGCGAAGGCGGCUACCUGGACAGGUACUGACGCUGAAGCGCGAAAGCUAGGGGAGCAAACAGG
rnacentral:rRNA from 1 species